rnacentral:rRNA from 1 species
CCAUGCCCCCCGAACUCGCUUACCGCCGCUGUGACGGGUAUUAAGAACCUGAGAGGGUGAACGGACACACUGGAACUGAGACACGGUCCAGACUCCUACGGGAGGCAGCAGUAGGGAAUAUUGCUCAAUGGGGGAAACCCUGAAGCAGCAACGCCGCGUGGAGGAUGAAGGUUUUAGGAUUGUAAACUCCUUUUGUUAGAGAAGAUAAUGACGGUAUCUAACGAAUAAGCACCGGCUAACUCCGUGCCAGCAGCCGCGGUAAUACGGAGGGUGCAAGCGUUACUCGGAAUUACUGGGCGUAAAGAGCGCGUAGGCGGGAUAGUCAGUCAGGUGUGAAAUCCUAUGGCUUAACCAUAGAACUGCAUUUGAAACUACUAUUCUAGAGUGUGGGAGAGGUAGGUGGAAUAGA